UACGGGGGGGGCAAGCGUUGUUCGGAAUUACUGGGCGUAAAGGGCUCGUAGGUGGCCAACUAAGUCAGACGUGAAAUCCCCAGGCUUAACCUGGGAACUGCGUCUGAUACUGGAUGGCUUGAAUCCGGGAGAGGGAUGCAGAAUUCCAGGUGUAGCGGUGAAAUGCGUAGAUAUCGGGAGGAACACCAGUGGCGAAGGCGACUACCUGGCCUGUUUCUUGACGCUGAGGCGCGAAAGCUAGGGGAGCAAACGGG
rnacentral:rRNA from 1 species